AACGAACGCUGGCGGCAUGCCUAACUCAUGCAAGUCGAACGAGACCUUCGGGUCUAGUGGCGCACGGGUGCGUAACGCGUGGGAACCUGCCCUUAGGUUCGGAAUAACUCCCCGAAAGGGGUGCUAAUACCGGAUAAUGUCUUCGGACCAAAGAUUAUCGCCUUUGGAUGGGCCCGCGUUGGAUUAGCUAGUUGGUAGGGUAAAAGCCUACCAAGGCGACGAUCCAUAGCUGGUCUGAGAGGAUGAUCAGCCACACUGGGACUGAGACACGGCCCAGACUCCUACGGGAGGCAGCAGUGGGGAAUAUUGGACAAUGGGCGAAAGCCUGAUCCAGCAAUGCCGCGUGAGUGAUGAAGGCCUUAGGGUUGUAAAGCUCUUUUACCCGGGAUGAUAAUGACAGUACCGGGAGAAUAAGCUCCGGCUAACUCCGUG
rnacentral:rRNA from 1 species